rnacentral:rRNA from 1 species
UGCAGUCGACGAUGAAGGAGGAGCUUGCUCCUCCGGAUUAGUGGCGAACGGGUGAGUAAUACGUGAGCAAUGUGCCCUUGACUCUGGGAUAAGCGCUGGAAACGGCGUCUAAUACCGGAUACGACCCUCGGAGGCAUCUCCUGAUGGUGGAAAGAACUUCGGUCAAGGAUCAGCUCACGGCCUAUCAGCUAGUUGGUGAGGUAACGGCUCACCAAGGCGACGACGGGUAGCCGGCCUGAGAGGGUGACCGGCCACACUGGGACUGAGACACGGCCCAGACUCCUACGGGAGGCAGCAGUGGGGAAUAUUGCACAAUGGGCGCAAGCCUGAUGCAGCAACGCCGCGUGAGGGACGAAGGCCUUCGGGUUGUAAACCUCUUUUAGCAGGGAAGAAGCGAAAGUGACGGUACCUGCAGAAAAAGCACCGGCUAACUACGUGCCAGCAGCCGCGGUAAUACGUAGGGUGCAAGCGUUGUCCGGAAUUAUUGGGCGUAAAGAGCUCGUAGGCGGUUUGUCGCGUCUGCUGUGAAAACCCGAGGCUCAACCUCGGGCUUGCAGUGGGUACGGGCAGACUAGAGUGCGGUAGGGGAGAUUGGAAUUCCUGGUGUAGCGGUGGAAUGCGCAGAUAUCAGGAGGAACACCGAUGGCGAAGGCAGAUCUCUGGGCCGUAACUGACGCUGAGGAGCGA